rnacentral:SRP_RNA from 1 species
GCCGGGCCUGGUGGCACGUGCCUGUAAUCCCAGCUACUCGGGAGGCUGAGGCAGGAGAAUCGCUUGAACCCUGGAGGCGGAGGUUGCGAUGAGCCCAGAUUGUGCCACCUCACUCCAGCCUGGGAGACAGAGUGAGACUCUGUCUACAAAAAAAAAAAAAAAAUAGAAGUUUAGCCCCUGUUGCCCAGGCUGGAGUGCAAUGGUGCGAUCUCAGCUCACCGCAACCUCUGCCUGCUGGGUUCAAGCGACUCUCCUGCCUCAG